ACAAGAGAAAUCAGUGUCAUUGAGGCUUUUUAACUAACUAUACAUAGAUUUCCAUAGAUUGUAAUGGCAAUAUAAUGUGUGUUACGGGUAUGUUAUGUGUGUUUGAGAAUGUAUUUACAGUCUCUGUGGAUAAAGAAGUAAAAAAAUUGUUGGAAAAAAACUUCAUAAAAGACUGCAUAUAAAUGCUGUAAUGCCAAAAGGAAAAUACUGGGUUAGGCAGCCAAUGAGAACAGACAAAAGAUAUUGCCGACAGAAACGAUGGUGAAAGCAUUAGAGAACAAAGAAUCCUUACAACAAGUGAAGGUUAGUCCGAACAUAUUAACUGUUUUCAUGUUAGAGAAAUGCUCGAAUGUUUGUUGUUAUCAAUCUCAAGAAACCCUUUCGUAUUAACGAAUAAGAUUUGUUCCAUUUUUAUUUAUCUUAUCUUUAGUGAAGAAACUCAAAGUCGCGAUAACCUAGAUUCACAGCAAGCAUGACGAAUUCAUGGUGGUUCAGUUAAGUUUAAAAUAUGAAAUUAUUGAUAGAUUGACAAUUUGUCAACCAGGCCUUAGCUUUUGCAAUCUUAAAGUUAAAGUCCAAAAGACAAGUAAAAAUUAGGGCCUAAAAAAUAUUUUUCCGUUCGACUUCCUUUUGAAUAUUUUUCAUUUUGUGUCGCAGUGUAAAACGUUUGUAAUAUUUUUUUGCAUAUUGGGAAAAGCUGCCAAAAGGGAACAAAUCUGUAGUUCAGCUUGUUUUGAUUAACCACAAAAAAAGCUUAGGGAUGAAUUUCCCGUAUUUAAAAGCAAUCCAUACACAUUGUUUCAUUGUUUCGGUCUUUGAAAAAAACACGUUUGGGGAGAUAAUUUACCCGCAUUAACCCUAUUCGGUCCGGGGGGGCGGAUUCCGCCCCCCCUGACGUUUUUUUUGUAAUAACUCCUGAUUGCUUUGUUAUAUGGCUAUGAUACUUACUGAGUUUCAACAUUUAUCUAUUAGACACCUGCAUGCUAAUUUUUUAGGUCCCAUACCUUUCAGAGGCUUUGAUAUUGGCCAUUACUCGAAACUACCCCUAAAAAUCUCUAUGAAAUCCUUAUAAUGGGGAAAAUAUAAUAACUCCUGUUAGGAUUAUCCUUAGAACUUGAAACUUGCAACACAACUUUAUUUCAUCAAGAAGAAUCAUUUUGAAUAAUUUAAACACGUGACUAAUCCGAUUUCCCGAUUUUGUCGGAUUUCACCCGAAAAUCGGAAAAAAACGGAUUUUCGGGCAAUUUUUGGCAAUUUUUUAUCCGAUCCAUGUAAAAACCGGAAGAUAUGUUAAAUAACUUUUAUUUAACUUUCAGAAACUUCAAACAGAAUGUAAAAAUUCCCUCUAGAACGAAAGUAAUUAUAAUUUAAGCAGAUAGUGGCAUUUUUGACAAUUUUCAAGCUUCUGAUGACGUCACAGAAAAUGUGCUGACGCAAGCAAAAAUUUAUUGCCGCCAUUUUGUUCAUUUUAUGACGUACUAUAAGUGUGCCAAGUUUGAUUCAACUUGAACAAUCCUAUGAAAAGUUAUUGAGGGGGGGGCGGAAUCCGCCCCCCCGGUCAUA